rnacentral:pre_miRNA from 1 species
AAGGGGAGUGCAGCAUCUUGGGUUGUGUCCCCCGGUGCCUUGGGCUCCAGGGCCUGGGCCACUGGAAUCACACUUCUGGGGCCAGGCAGCCCCCU